AUAAUUACCUGGCAGGGGAGAAACAAUGAUCAUGAAGUUCGGGUUCCCAGGGUGAGGCUAUCCCAUUGCAAUCUGGGUGUGCUGACUCCUGCAAUGUCCCCAAAUGUGGGAUACUUGACUGCAAAAUUUGUGCUAGUGGGGGACUGUGUAUGUGCUUUACCCUG